rnacentral:rRNA from 1 species
AUGGAUCCUUUUCAGAGAAGGAGUUUUCUCUCGAAAGAAGUGAGUGGGAGGAUAGUAGAACUUGAUGAGGUAAUUGUACCUUCUCUUGAAUUAGAAAGUAGUUCAUCACAGAAAUCAGUUCCAGUGAUGCCUACACCAGUUAGUGAGGAAGCUAAUGAUGAUGAUCAAGAAACUUUAGAUCAAGUUACUACCGAACUUCGUUGGUCAACCAUAGCACGUUCCGCACCAGAGUGGUAUGAUAAUGUUGUUCUCGAAGUCAUGUUACUAGACCAUGACAAACCUACGAACUAUGAGGAAGCGAUGAUGAGCCCAGAUUCCGCAAAAUGGCUUGAGGCCAUGAAAUCUGAGAUGGGAUCCAUGUAUGAGAACAAAGUAUGGACUUUGGUGGACUUGUCCGAUGAUCGGCAAACCAUAGAAAAUAAACGGAUCUUCAAGAGGAAGACGGAUGUUGAUGGUAGUGUUACUAUCUACAAAGCUCGACUUGUCGCAAAAGGUUUUCGACAAGUUCAAGGAGUUGACUACGAUGAGACCUUCUCACCAGUAGCAAUGCUUAAGUCUGUCCGAAUCAUGUUAGCAAUUGACGCAUUUUAUGAUUAUGAAAUCUGGCAAAUGGAUGUCAAAACUGCAUUCCUUAAUGGAUUUCUUAGAGAAGAGUUGUAUAUGAUGCAACCAGAAGGUCUUGUCAAUCCUAAAGGUGCUAACAAAAUGUGCAAGCUCCAGCGAUCCAUCUAUGAACUAGUGCAAACAUCUCGGAGUUGGAAUAUACGCUUUGAUGAACUGAUGAAAGCAUAUAGUUUUAUAUAG